rnacentral:rRNA from 1 species
GACGCAAAGUCGCGAGGCGGAGCAAAUCUCAAAAGCCGAUCCCAGUUCGGAUUGCAGGCUGCAACUCGCCUGCAUGAAGUUGGAGUUGCUAGUAAUCGCGGAUCAGAAUGCCGCGGUGAAUGCGUUCCCGGGUCUUGUACACACCGCCCGUCACACCACGGAAGUUGGGGGUGCCCAAAGUUGGCAGGAUAAUAUGUUACCUAAGGCAAAACCGAUGACUGGGGUGAAGUCGUAACAAGGUAAC